rnacentral:rRNA from 1 species
AGAAUCAACGCUGGCGGCGUGCCUAACACAUGCAAGUCGCACGAGAAAGGGUAGCAAUACCUGAGUAAAGUGGCGCACGGGUGAGUAACACGUGAAUUAUCUACCUCCGAGUGGGGAAUAACUGAGAGAAAUCUUAGCUAAUACCGCAUAACACUUACGAGUCAAAGCAGCAAUGCGCUUGGAGAGGAGUUCGCGGCAGAUUAGUUAGUUGGCGGGGUAAUGGCCCACCAAGACGAUGAUCUGUAUCCGGCCUGAGAGGGCGCACGGACACACUGGAACUGAAACACGGUCCAGACUCCUACGGGAGGCAGCAGUGGGGAAUUUUGCGCAAUGGGGGAAACCCUGACGCAGCAACGCCGCGUGGAGGAUGAAAUAUCUUGGUAUGUAAACUCCUUUCGAUGGGGAAGAUUAUGACGGUACCAUAGAAGAAGCCCCGGCUAACUUCGCGCCGCAGCCGC